rnacentral:rRNA from 1 species
GCCCUGUGACGAAAGUUUAACGGCCGCGGUAUCUUGACCGUGCGAAGGUAGCGUAAUCACUUGUCUCUUAAAUGGAGACCUGUAUGAAUGGCAUAACGAGGGCUGAGCUGUCUCCUUUCCCCAGUCAAUGAAAUUGAUCUUCCCGUGCAGAAGCGGGAAUGCCAACAUAAGACGAGAAGACCCUAUGGAGCUUUAGACCCUAGCAGCAGACCACGUCAAAACCCUUAAGCCACUAAGACUAAACAAAGUGGCCCCCCGCUGCAGGUCUUUGGUUGGGGCGACCGCGGAGAAACAACAAACCCCCGCGUGGUACGGGCCACCCCCUAAGGCCAGAGCCACAGCUCUAACAAACAGAACAUCUGACCUCCAAGAUCCGGCAUUGCCGAUUAACGGACCGAGUUACCCUAGGGAUAACAGCGCAAUCCUCUUUCAGAGCUCAUAUCGACAAGAGGGUUUACGACCUCGAUGUUGGAUCAGGACCUCCUAAUGGUGCAGCCGCUAUUAAGGGUUCGUUUGUUCAACGAUUAAAGUCCU